AGGACAUCCAGUUUAUUCAAGGAGACAACAGGCAAAGAGAGAGAGGCAGAGAGGGGAGGGAUUAUGAAAAACAAAGCCUUCUCUCGUCUCUAGGAUGCUGACAAAGCACACAGUGAAUACUUUUUUUGUUGCUGGACGCAGACCGGCUACUGUGGACAGAUUGUGAAAGCUGGAAUAAACAGGAGAUGAAUGUUCCAGGUCAUCUUCUGGGUCAGCGCUGAUGAAAGUCCCAGAAGGCACUUGGCCAUUGCAGAGUGGAUGAACCCUAUUUGGAAAACAUAAACACCACGUACCCAUGGUGAAGCAGAUGACAACAGGGAAGAGACAUCAAUUUGACGUAUAUCUUUUUAAAAAGCCUCUCCCCAGCACUACAUGGUUGUCUAACAAACUGAAGCACGGACACAGAUAUCUUUAAAUGUCAAAAUUGCUG
ensembl:lncRNA